rnacentral:rRNA from 1 species
CUGGCCGUAAACGAUGAACACUAGAUGUUGGGGGAAUCGACCCCUCCGGUGUCGUAGCUAACGCGUUAAGUGUUCCGCCUGGGGAGUACGCACGCAAGUGUGAAACUCAAAGGAAUUGACGGGGGCCCGCACAAGCGGUGGAGUAUGUGGUUUAAUUCGAUGCAACGCGAAGAACCUUACCAAGGCUUGACAUCCUGCGGAUCUCCAAGAAAUUGGAGAGUGCCUUCGGGAACGCAGUGACAGGUGGUGCAUGGCUGUCGUCAGCUCGUGUCGUGAGAUGCUGGGUUAAGUCCCGCAACGAGCGCAACCCACGUUUUUAGUUGCCAGCAUUCAGUUGGGCACUCUAGAAAGACUGCCGGUGACAAACCGGAGGAAGGUGUGGACGACGUCAAGUCAUCAUGCCCCUUACGCCUUGGGCUACACACGUACUACAAUGCUGCGGACAAAGAGUAGCGAUCUUGCAAAAGUUAGCUAAUCUCGUAAACCGUGGCUCAGUUCAGAUCGUAGGCUGCAACUCGCCUACGUGAAGGAGGAAUCGCUAGUAAUCGCAGGUCAGCAUACUGCGGUGAAUACGUUCCCGGGCCUUGUACACACCGCCCGUCACACCAUGGAAGUUGGCCAUGCCCGAAGUCGUUACUCUAACCUUUUGGAAGAGGGCGCCGAAGGCAGGGCUAAUGACUGGGGUGAAGUCGUAACAAGGUAGCCGUAGCGGAAGCUGCGGCUGGAUCACCUCCUAA